AAUCAACGCUGGCGGCGUGCCUAACACAUGCAAGUCGCACGAGAAAGGGGAGCAAUCCCUGAGUAAAGUGGCGCACGGGUGAGUAACACGUGAAUCAUCUACCUCCGAGUGGGGAAUAACUGAGAGAAAUCUUAGCUAAUACCGCAUAACACUUACGAGUCAAAGCAGCAAUGCGCUUGGAGAGGAGUUCGCGGCCGAUUAGUUAGUUGGCGGGGUAAUGGCCCACCAAGACGAUGAUCGGUAUCCGGCCUGAGAGGGCGCACGGACACACUGGAACUGAAACACGGUCCAGACUCCUACGGGAGGC
rnacentral:rRNA from 1 species